rnacentral:misc_RNA from 1 species
AGCAUGAACUUCAACAUCACAUUUCGCACAAAGCGCCGCUUCAUCCGCACAACAAAUCACAGUAGCAGGAGCUUUCUCACAAACAUCACACUGUAUUUUCAUCUUCUCCUUCUGGACUACCACACCAAUUUUCAAUAAAUUCCCGGAAACCCCUCUUCCCCCCUUUCCUACUCGAAGAUCAACGAACCCAUGAACUUCUGAUGAAAAACAGUAACUCCUAACGCCGCUAGAACACAACCGCCGGAGAGAUGGAAGAGAAAAUGGAAGAGAAGAAGAAGGGAAAGUGGGUGUUUGAGAAUAAAAACGGAGAAAGAAGGGGAUAGAGAAAGAGGAGUAAAU